GUUUCCGUAGGUGAACCUGCGGAAGGAUCAUUAUCGAGUCAGGGUCCUCCUGGGCCCGAUCUCCAACCCUUUGUUUAUCAUACCUUUGUUGCUUUGGCAGACCCGUCCUUCGGGACCGUCGGGGGCGUUCAGUCGCCUCUGGCCAGCGUCUGCCAGUAGCCCAACCAAAAUUCUUUGUUACAUGUGACGUCUGAACGGUUCCAUCAAAAUCAAACCAAAACUUUCAACAACGGAUCUCUUGGUUCUGGCAUCGAUGAAGAACGCAGCGAAAUGCGAUAAGUAAUGUGAAUUGCAGAAUUCAGUGAAUCAUCGAAUCUUUGAACGCACAUUGCGCCCUUUGGUAUUCCGAAGGGCAUGCCUGUUCGAGCGUCAUUAUCAACCCUCAAGCCCGGCUUGAUAUUGGGUCCAUAUCAACUUUCAUAGAAGAUAGGCCCGAAAGAUAAUGGCGGCGUCAAGAAUGACCCCAGGUGCAGCGAGCAAUCAAGCAUACACUGAGGUGGUCCUCUUGGCCUGGCCCUAUUGUUUUGUUGCAGAACUUCUCAGGUUGACCUCGGAUCAGGUAGGAAUACCCGCUGAACUUAA
rnacentral:rRNA from 1 species